rnacentral:lncRNA from 1 species
CAAAACAAAAUUCCUUGCUCUUGAUUGAGCACUUACUAUACACUAUCUGGAAUUGGGUGGCUUUCCCACUUGCCAAUUUACAAAAAGUAAAACUGCAAGUCACCAUUCCUCUGGCUUUUCCUCCUCACCCUGCAGUAUGCUGAUCCCUUCUUUUUAAAAGCCUGCUAGCUAAUUGAUCAGAUACAGGUGAGGUGCAAUUAGACAUAAGUGAAACUACUAAGCAAAAUAAAAGUUCUGGUCCGACUGUUACUUAUUAGCUGGUGCUAUUGGAGCACUGGCCCACCCUGCUCUCCAAGUGCUCCGCCCCAGGGACCCAUACCGUGCUUUGCAGAGUACCAGUAAU